CGGGUUAACUCCGGGCAUGCAGCGGAGGUAAGACGGGUGGGGCGAGCGGUAAUAGGAAGUACUGGGCGUAGAGCGCGCGUAGGCGGCUUGUUAAGUCAGAUGUGAAAGCCCCGGGCUCAACCUGGGAAUUGCAUUUGAUACUGGCAGGCUAGAGUAUGGUAGAGGGUAGUGGAAUUCCAGGUGUAGCGGUGAAAUGCGUAGAUAUCUGGAGGAACAUCAGUGGCGAAGGCGGCUACCUGGACCAAUACUGACGCUGAGGUGCGAAAGCGUGGGGAGCAAACAGGAUUAGAUACCCCGGUAC
rnacentral:rRNA from 1 species